ACUCAAAUGAAUUGACGGGGGCCCGCACAAGCAGCGGAGCGUGUGGUUUAAUUCGAUGCGACGCGAAGAACCUUACCUGGGUUAAAUCUAUCCUGACCGCCGGUGAAAGCCGGUUUCCCUUCGGGGCAGGGUGGAAGGUGCUGCACGGCUGUCGUCAGCUCGUGCCGUGAGGUGUUGGGUUAAGUCCCGCAACGAGCGCAACCCCUAUCGCUAGUUGUACUUCUCUAGCGAGACUGCCGGUACAAAACCGGAGGAAGGCGGGGAUGACGUCAAGUCAGCGUGGCCCUUACGUCCAGGGCUACACACACGCUACAAUGGCCGGUACAGCGAGUUGCGACACGGCGACGUGAAGCUAAUCUCUUAAAACCGGCCUCAGUUCAGAUUGCAGGCUGAAACUCGCCUGCAUGAAGUUGGAGUUGCUAGUAACCGUGGGUCAGCACACCACGGUGAAUACGUUCCCGGGCCUUGUACACACCGCCCGU
rnacentral:rRNA from 1 species